AGAGUUUGAUCCUGGCUCAGGACGAACGCUGGCGGCGUGCCUAACACACGCAAGUCGAACGGGACUGGGGGCAACUCCAGUUCAGUGGCGGACGGGUGCGUAACACGUGAGGAACAUGACUUUCGGUGGGGGAUAGCCGGCCCAACGGCCGGGUAAUACCGCGUACGACCUUUCGGGGACAUCCCCGGUUGGUGAAAGCAGCAGUGCGCCGAAAGAGUGCCUCGCGGCCUAUCAGCUAGUUGGUGGGGUAAUGGCCCACCAAGGCGACGACGGGUAGCUGGUCUGAGAGGAUGGCCAGCCACAUUGGGACUGAGACACGGCCCAGACUCCUACGGGAGGCAGCAGUGGGGAAUAUUGCGCAAUGGGCGAAAGCCUGACGCAGCGACGCCGCGUGUGGGAUGACGGCCUUCGGGUUGUAAACCACUGUCGGGAGGGACGAAUGCGCCGCAAGGCGAGUGACG
rnacentral:rRNA from 1 species